rnacentral:rRNA from 1 species
GACGAACGCUGGCGGCGUGCUUAACACAUGCAAGUCGAGCGGAAAGGCCCUUCGGGGUACUCGAGCGGCGAACGGGUGAGUAACACGUGAGUAACCUGCCCCAGACUUUGGGAUAACCCUCGGAAACGGGGGCUAAACCGGGUACGGCACCGGUUCCCCAUGGGUUCUGGUGGAAAGGUUUUUCGGUUGGGGAUGGGCUCGGGGCCUACCGGCUGGUUGGGGGGGUGAUGGCUUACCAAGGCGACGACGGGUAGCCGGCCUGAGAGGGCGACCGGCCACACUGGGACUGAGACACGGCCCAGACUCCUACGGGAGGCAGCAGUGGGGAAUAUUGCACAAUGGGCGGAAGCCUGAUGCAGCGACGCCGCGUGAGGGAUGACGGCCUUCGGGUUGUAAACCUCUUUCAGCAGGGACGAAGCGUAAGUGACGGUACCUGCAGAAGAAGCGCCGGCCAACUACGUG